rnacentral:rRNA from 1 species
CGGACGGGUGAGUAAUGUCUGGGAAACUGCCUGAUGGAGGGGGAUAACUACUGGAAACGGUAGCUAAUACCGCAUAACGUCGCAAGACCAAAGAGGGGGACCUUAGGGCCUCUUGCCAUCGGAUGUGCCCAGAUGGGAUUAGCUUGUUGGUGGGGUAACGACUCACCAAGGCGACGAUCCCUAGCUGGUCUGAGAGGAUGACCAGCCACACUGGAACUGAGACACGGUCCAG